UCCAGCCAUGCCGCGUGGGUGAAGAAGGCCUUCGGGUUGUAAAGCCCUUUUGUUGGGAAAGAAAAGCAGUCGGUUAAUACCCGAUUGUUCUGACGGUACCCAAAGAAUAAGCACCGGCUAACUUCGUGCCAGCAGCCGCGGUAAUACGAAGGGUGCAAGCGUUACUCGGAAUUACUGGGCGUAAAGCGUGCGUAGGUGGUUGUUUAAGUCCGUUGUGAAAGCCCUGGGCUCAACCUGGGAAUUGCAGUGGAUACUGGGCAACUAGAGUGUGGUAGAGGAUGGCGGAAUUCCCGGUGUAGCAGUGAAAUGCGUAGAGAUCGGGAGGAACAUCUGUGGCGAAGGCGGCCAUCUGGACCAACACUGACACUGAGGCACGAAAGCGUGGGGAGCAAACAGGAUUAGAUACCCUGGUAGUCCACGCCCUAAACGAUGCGAACUGGAUGUUGGGUGCAACUUGGCACGCAGUAUCGAAGCUAACGCGUUAAGUUCGCCGCCUGGGGAGUACGGUCGCAAGACUGAAACUCAAAGGAAUUGACGGGGGCCCGCACAAGCGGUGGAGUAUGUGGUUUAAUUCGAUGCAACGCGAAGAACCUUACCUGGUCUUGACAUCCACGGAACUUUCCAGAGA
rnacentral:rRNA from 1 species